GUCAGUUAAGCCUGUCUCUAAGACACAGUGGAGAUGGAUUUCUCACUUCUAUUUUUGAUGACCUUGUUUGUGAUGUUUGAAGGGUCCUGUGGAGAUAUCAUCAUGACUCAGUCUCCCUCAAGUCUCUCUGCACGGCCAGGAGAAACUGUCAGAUUAAAUUGUAAAGCCAGCAGCUCCAUUACCAGUAGCAGCUAUAACUACCUGGCCUGGUAUCAGCAGAAAGCAGGAGAAGCUCCAAAACUCCUGAUUUAUUUUGCAAGCACUCUGCAGACUGGGAUCUCAAGUCGCUUUAGUGGCAGUGGCUCAGGACUUGAUUAUAUGCUGACCAUCAGUAACGUACAGCCUGAAGAUGGAGGACAUUACUACUGUCAGCAGAGCUAUGACUGGCCUCUCACACAGUGACACAGAGCCGUACAAAAACUACCUUGACUUGUCUGUGCAGCUGCUGUUCUCAAUUUUACUGGUGAUAAGAGUGAAGUCAUAGGGUUGGCACACAAAAGAAAAAGAAAGAGAAACAGAGAACAGAAAGAGAGUCUUCUGAUCACAACAUGUUACAGAAAGGGCAACACAUGAGAAAAUGACCCAAUCCAGAAAACCUUUAGGGUAAAGAAAUAAUAUUCUGAAAUAUUUCUGUAUUACUAGCUGUGUUAGUUGGCUUUACCUGGAAAAUUUCAUAAGGCAAUGGAACUUAGUUAUAUUGUUGUUGGUUAUUUGAAUAUAUUGAAAGUACUUUGUAACUAAGUAAAUACUUUUCUGUGCACAGUAUUUGUAUUUUAUUUUUUUUAAAUAAAAAGCUAAUAUUACUAGCAGGAAGUGUGGCAUAGUGGUCAAGGCUUCGGACUUCUAACCUUGUGGUUCAAAUCCUGGUACUGACACUGUGUGACGAUGAGCCGGUCACUGCACCUUUAUGUCUUCUAAUUUGGAAAAAGAAAUUAAACCAACUGUACCUCAAAUGUUAUCAGUUGCCUUUAAUAAAAACACCAUAGAAAUAAGUAAUAAUAAUAUUAUCAGGUCACUGGAGCAGCAUACUCUUAAUAAUCCUAUACACAUUUGUUCAUGCAUUAAACAUUCCUGUAUUAGAUCAAUUUCUGCUUUCUGUAUUUAAACGUUAGGUAAUAAAAAGAUGCAAGGUUAUUUUUUAAAUUGUCCACAACUAUUUCUGCUAAUUUGUUUUUUCAAAUUCACAAAAGUUCAUUGUUUUGAAAAGAAUUGACGUAUCUCACAAUGAUACAGCUUUUUAAAUAUUGACAAAAAUGCAAUUGUUGUUGUAAUAGAAUCUAUUUCAAAGAUAAUUAUUCCUAUAUUUUUUGAAUUUGUCACUUGUUGCAUUGAUUGCCAAGGCGUUUUGCUUUGUCUGAACCAGAAUAUACAAUGUGCAAAGGUUCAAU